rnacentral:lncRNA from 1 species
AUUUGGGACAGAGAGACAUACUGAGUUACCGAGUUGGGUGCUGAAGUUGUCAUUGAAUGUGGGGUAAUGACUGAAAGCUAGGACCAAAGACUAGUUGAGCAUCAUGAACCUCAGCAUUUCUAGGAUGAAUCAUACUUUGGAAGCAGCAUUGGAAGCAUAUUGAACCCGGCACCUAACCUGAACUGUGAGAUUUGGGGGAAUAAGUAGCUUCCAUUUGACAGGGAAUAGGCAGAAGGCAUCUUUAGUUAGUUGAAGUCAGGAUAUCAAGGGGAGUGUGUUCAUUGAAGAUGUCGAGGACAGAGGUGUUUAUCAUGAACAAAGCUCCAGAAAGUGGAGCAGAGACAUUGUGAGGAAGAGAAACACUGGGAAGUUGACUUAGGGAAAAGAAGCAGAGAAGAUGAAAGUAAAAAGAUAGAUGACAAGAGAGGAUACAUUAAGCUGCGAUCAAACAUGGUGGAGAUCUGGGACAUGGAAGUAUUUGCUGGCUGAAGAGUUUCAGAAUUCCUUGGUGAUGCCACUUCACAGUUCAUAGCUUCACACUAUGGACUGAGGC